UGGCCAGUGGCAUGAAUCAAACACAAGGAGA
rnacentral:piRNA from 1 species